rnacentral:rRNA from 1 species
UACGUAGGGGGCAAGCGUUGUCCGGAUUUAUUGGGCGUAAAGAGCGUGUAGGCGGCCAGGCAGGUCCGCUGUGAAAACUCGAGGCUCAACCUCGAGAGGUCGGUGGAAACCGUCUGGCUAGAGUCCGGAAGAGGAGAGUGGAAUUCCCGGUGUAGCGGUGAAAUGCUUAGAUAUUGGGUGGAACACCAGUGGCGAAGGCGGUGCGCUGGGCCGGAACUGACGCUCAUGAACGAAAGCGUGGGUAGCAAACAGG